rnacentral:rRNA from 1 species
UACGAAGGGUGCAAGCGUUACUCGGAAUUACUGGGCGUAAAGCGUGCGUAGGUGGUUAUUUAAGUCCGUUGUGAAAGCCCUGGGCUCAACCUGGGAACUGCAGUGGAUACUGGAUGACUAGAAUGUGGUAGAGGGUAGCGGAAUUCCUGGUGUAGCAGUGAAAUGCGUAGAGAUCAGGAGGAACAUCCAUGGCGAAGGCAGCUACCUGGACCAACAUUGACACUGAGGCACGAAAGCGUGGGGAGCAAACAGGAUUAGAUACCCCUGUAGU